rnacentral:rRNA from 1 species
UCUUCCCUCUUUCUUCGUGCCUAAUACAUGCAAGUCGAGCGAACAGACGAGGAGCUUGCUCCGCUGACGUUAGCUGCGGACGGGUGAGUAACACGUGGGUAACCUACCUAUAAGACUGGGAUAACUUCGGGAAACCGGAGCUAAUACCGGAUAAUAUAUUAAACCGCAUGGUUUAAUAGUGAAAGACGGAUUUGCUGUCACUUAUAGAUGGAUCCCCGCCGAAUUAGCUAGUUGGUAAGGUAACGCCUUACCAAGGCAACGAUGAGUAGCCGACCUGAGAGGGUGAUCGGCAAACCGGGAACUGAGCAACGGUCCAGACUCCUACGGGAGGAAGAAGUAGGGAACUUUCCGAAAUGGGCGAAAGCUUGCCGGAGAACCGCGGCGUGAGGGAUGAAGUUCUUCGGAUCGAAAAACUCUGUUAUUAGGGAAGACCAAUUGUGUAAGUAAAUAUGCACGCCUUGACGGUACCUAAUCAGAAAGCCACGGCUAACUACGUG